GUGAGGAAUAUUGCGCAAUGGAGGCAACUCUGACGCAGCCAUGCCGCGUGCAGGAAGAAGGCGCUACGCGUUGUAAACUGCUUUUAACCGGGAAGAAACCCCAGGACGUGUCCUGGGUUGACGGUACCGGAGGAAUAAGCACCGGCUAACUUCGUGCCAGCAGCCGCGGUAAUACGAAGGGUGCAAGCGUUAUCCGGAUUCAUUGGGUUUAAAGGGUGCGUAGGCGGAGCGUUAAGUCAGUGGUGAAAUCCUGCAGCUUAACUGUAGACUUGCCAUUGAUACUGGCGCUCUUGAGUGCGCUUGAAGUGGGCGGAAUGUGCCGUGUAGCGGUGAAAUGCUUAGAUAUGGCACAGAACACCAAUUGCGAAGGCAGCUCACUAAGGCGAUACUGACGCUGAGGAACGAAAGCGUGGGGAUCGAACAGGAUUAGAUACCCGGGUAUUCC
rnacentral:rRNA from 1 species